AAGGAUUUAAGUUAAAUAAACUCUUAGCCUUCAAAGCUAACAAUAAAGUAAAUUCUUUAAGCCUUA
rnacentral:tRNA from 1 species